CGCGUCAGCACUCGCUGCCGCGUUGAUUGAGUCGACAUUAGUCGGCACAGGCAGGGCUCCCCCAUAGCCCGGGCGAGGCUCAGCUUCGCAUAUCGGAUUUGUUCUUGACCGGAAAUAGCAAGAUGCGCGGAAGGCCAUUACGUCAUUGUGGUCUAUAUAAAUGUGAGAAAUCGAGCAACAUGAUCACUCAGACGCGGAUCGAGAAAGUUCACAAGGGGAAAUGUGCGCUACCAGUCAACACAGACAUCCACACAAUGCCACAAUCUCCAGCCGAAGAGACGGUCCAAAAAGGCUUCAACUAUUGACAUCAUCCAAGUUAAAGAUGAAUGUGUGUCCGAGCAGCGCACAAAGGUUACCC